rnacentral:rRNA from 1 species
UACGGAGGGGGCUAGCGUUGUUCGGAAUUACUGGGCGUAAAGCGCACGUAGGCGGCUUUGUAAGUUAGAGGUGAAAGCCCAGGGCUCAACCCUGGAAUUGCCUUUAAGACUGCAUCGCUAGAAUUGUGGAGAGGUAAGUGGAAUUCCGAGUGUAGAGGUGAAAUUCGUAGAUAUUCGGAAGAACACCAGUGGCGAAGGCGACUUACUGGACACAUAUUGACGCUGGGGUGCGAAAGCGUGGGGAGCAAACAGG